UCAGAGCAAUUCACUUAACACGCGUCGUUUGAGUCCGCUCCAGCGAGAGGACCGGACGUAGACUCGGGCCACCGGGGGAAAGGAGCUGAUGCUGCUACGGAGAGCAGCUCGGCCCCCCGCCCCCCUUCCCUCGACUGGGAUGUGACCAGUAUCCUAACAGACUUCUUCGUCCGCUGUUCACGGAACACCAGCCACAGUGUUUGGAGACGCACGGGAAUGAGAAACAGUCCCUGCUUUCAGGGAUCUCCCAAUCAGUCGGGUGGAGGAGCAGAUAAAAAAACAGGUUUUUUUCAUCUUAGAAAGUCUGCAACUACCCCCACAUUAAGAUUCUUCCAUGUUAAUUCUUUUUUUUUUUUUUUUUUUAAAGAUUUUAUUUAUUUAUUUGAGAGAGAGAGAAUGAGAGAUAGCACGAGAGGGAAG